CAGCAGCCGCGGUAAUACGUAGGGUGCGAGCGUUGUCCGGAAUUACUGGGCGUAAAGAGUUCGUAGGCGGUUUGUCGCGUCGUUUGUGAAAACCCGGGGCUCAACUUCGGGCUUGCAGGCGAUACGGGCAGACUUGAGUGUUUCAGGGGAGACUGGAAUUCCUGGUGUAGCGGUGAAAUGCGCAGAUAUCAGGAGGAACACCGGUGGCGAAGGCGGGUCUCUGGGAAACAACUGACGCUGAGGAACGAAAGCGUGGGUAGCAAACAGGAUUAGAUACCCUGGUAGUCCACGCCGUAAACGGUGGGCGCUAGGUGUGGGUUCCUUCCACGGGAUCUGUGCCGUAGCUAACGCAUUAAGCGCCCCGCCUGGGGAGUACGGCCGCAAGGCUAAAACUCAAAGGAAUUGACGGGGGCCCGCACAAGCGGCGGAGCAUGUGGAUUAAUUCGAUGCAACGCGAAGAACCUUACCUGGGUUUGACAUACACCGGAAAACCGUAGAGAUACGGUCCCCCUUGUGGUCGGUGUACAGGAGGUGCAUGGCC
rnacentral:rRNA from 1 species